UGCAAGUCGAGCGGAUGACAGGAGCUUGCUCCUGAAUUCAGCGGCGGACGGGUGAGUAAUGCCUAGGAAUCUGCCUGGUAGUGGGGGACAACGUUUCGAAAGGAACGCUAAUACCGCAUACGUCCUACGGGAGAAAGCAGGGGACCUUCGGGCCUUGCGCUAUCAGAUGAGCCUAGGUCGGAUUAGCUAGUUGGUGAGGUAAUGGCUCACCAAGGCGACGAUCCGUAACUGGUCUGAGAGGAUGAUCAGUCACACUGGAACUGAGACACGGUCCAGACUCCUACGGGAGGCAGCAGUGGGGAAUAUUGGACAAUGGGCGAAAGCCUGAUCCAGCCAUGCCGCGUGUGUGAAGAAGGUCUUCGGAUUGUAAAGCACUUUAAGUUGGGAGGAAGGGCAUUAACCUAAUACGUUAGUGUUUUGACGUUACCGACAGAAUAAGCACCGGCUAACUCUGUGCCAGCAGCCGCGGUAAUACAGAGGGUGCAAGCGUUAAUCGGAAUUACUGGGCGUAAAGCGCGCGUAGGUGGUUUGUUAAGUUGGAUGUGAAAGCCCCGGGCUCAACCUGGGAACUGCAUUCAAAACUGACAAGCUAGAGUAUGGUAGAGGGUGGUGGAAUUUCCUGUGUAGCGGUGAAAUGCGUACAUAUACGAAGGAACACCAGUGGCGAAGGCGACCACCUGGACUGAUACUGACA
rnacentral:rRNA from 1 species